rnacentral:rRNA from 1 species
UACGUAGGUGGCAAGCGUUGUCCGGAAUUAUUGGGCGUAAAGCGCGCGCAGGCGGUCCUUUAAGUCUGAUGUGAAAUCCCACGGCUCAACCGUGGAAGGUCAUUGGAAACUGGGGGACUUGAGUACAGAAGAGGAAAGCGGAAUUCCAAGUGUAGCGGUGAAAUGCGUAGAGAUUUGGAGGAACACCAGUGGCGAAGGCGGCUCUCUGGGACGGUACUGACGCUGAGACGCGAAAGCGUGGGGAGCAAACAGG